UCCUCCAUGGCGCAAUUGGCUAGCGCGUCUGACUGUUAUUCGACUGACAUCAGGAGGUUCGUGGUUCGAGCCCACGUGGGGGAG